rnacentral:rRNA from 1 species
AAUCAACGCUGGCGGCGUGCCUAACACAUGCAAGUCGAACGAGAAAGUGGAGCAAUCCAUGAGUAAAGUGGCGCACGGGUGAGUAACACGUGACUAACCUACCCUUGAGUGGGGGAUAACCUAGGGAAACCUGGGCUAAUACCGCAUAAUACCUACGGGUCAAAGGAGCAAUUCGCUUUGGGAGGGGGUCGCGGCCGAUUAGUUAGUUGGCAGGGUAAUGGCCUACCAAGACGAUGAUCGGUANCCGGCCUGAGAGGGCGCACGGACACACUGGAACUGAAACACGGUCCAGACUCCUACGGGAGGCAGCAGUGGGGAAUUUUGCGCAAUGGGGGAAACCCUGACGCAGCAACGCCGCGUGGAGGAUGAAGUCCCUUGGGACGUAAACUCCUUUCGAUCGGGACGAUAAUGACGGUACCGGAAGAAGAAGCCCCGGCU